rnacentral:rRNA from 1 species
CAGCAGUGGGGAAUAUUGCACAAUGGGCGCAAGCCUGAUGCAGCCAUGCCGCGUGUAUUGAAGAAGGCCUUCGGGUUGUAAAGUACUUUCAGCAGUGAGGAAGGUGGGUAUGUUAAUAGCAUAUUCAUUUGACGUUAGCUGCAGAAGAAGCACCGGCUAACUCCGUGCCAGCAGCCGCGGUAAUACGGAGGGUGCGAGCGUUAAUCGGAAUUACUGGGCGUAAAGCGCAUGCAGGUGGUUUGUUAAGUCAGAUGUGAAAGCCCGGGGCUCAACCUCGGAAUUGCAUUUGAAACUGGCAAACUAGAGUACUGUAGAGGGGGUAGAAUUUCAGGUGUAGCGGUGAAAAUGCGUAGAGAUCUAAAGGAAUACCGGUGGCGAAGGCGGCCCCCUGGACAGAUACUGACACUCAGAUGCGAAAGCGUGGGGAGCAAACAGGAUUAGAUACCCUGUAG